CUACGGGAUGCUCCAGUGGGGAAUAUUGCACAAUGGGCGCAAGCCCGAUGCAGCCAUGCCGCGUGUAUGAAGAAGGCCUUCGGGUUGUAAAGUACUUUCAGCGGGGAGGAAGGGAGUAAAGUUAAUACCUUUGCUCAUUGACGUUACCCGCAGAAGAAGCACCGGCUAACUCCGUGCCAGCAGCCGCGGUAAUACGGAGGGUGCAAGCGUUAAUCGGAAUUACUGGGCGUAAAGCGCACGCGGGCGGUUUGUUAAGUCAGAUGUGAAAUCCCCGGGCUCAACCUGGGAACUGCAUCUGAUACUGGCAAGCUUGAGUCUCGUAGAGGGGGGUAGAAUUCCAGGUGUAGCGGUGAAAUGCGUAGAGAUCUGGAGGAAUACCGGUGGCGAAGGCGGCCCCCUGGACGAAGACUGACGCUCAGGUGCGAAAGCGUGGGGAGCAAACAGGAUUAGAUACCCGCGUAGUC
rnacentral:rRNA from 1 species